UUUAUCUAACGUUAAUGCUGCAUAGGAUAUGUUAUAAUAUGACAAGUCAAACUUAAUAUGCCAAUUGAAGGGACUAUUUUGCGCGCCGAUUGAGUAUCGUAACAUGGCUGGGAAACCUUUACUUCAAGAAUUUUAAGCCUCAUUCUCUCAACUAACUUUAUUAAAUACACCUUUAACUCUAACCCUAAUCCCCAUUGUAAAUACAUCCUUCCCCACAACACAUUUCCAUAUAACCCACAUACCCGCCGUCAAGAUCAGACGUCACCGGAGUUUCCUCGGAGACGACCGGAGUUCGAAGAUCUCGUCGGAAACAAGCCGAAGACCACCAACUGUUGCUUCGUGCACCCGUACCGUCGGAGACGUAGAAGCUUCGCUGAGUUACGAGACGCUGCCGGAAAGCUCACCGGAUUCAUGACGGAACUCGCUUCCUCUUCGUUUCGCGCCGUCCAUUUAAACGAAGAAGAACACGCCGGAGACGACCGGGGUCACGACGAAGCCACUGUUGUUUCGGAUAACCAUUACAUUCGUUCUCUUGGAUUCUCUCAAUCUUUACUCGUGCGAUAAUUCAAGGAAUUCUUACACGCAACCAAUGUUAAUUAUUGAGAUGAUAUUCAAGACGAAACAAGAUUUAGGGUGGACUAGAUACACACCUAGAUUAAUCUAUCUUUUAUUGUUAUGUUAUGUUAUGAAACAAUGUUGUUAUUUCUUUUUGAAUCUUGUAUGAUAUUUAGUAUUGCAAUGAAAUUUGAAUUUAAUUAAA